GGAAGGGUGGCUCAGUGGUAGAGCGCUGCCGGCCAGAAUGCCAGAAACGGCCUGGUAGUUACCCUCGCAGGGCUCCGCGUGGUUCGAAUCCCGCCCCUUCCA
rnacentral:tRNA from 1 species